rnacentral:rRNA from 1 species
UGCAAGUCGAACGGCAGCAUGAUCUAGCUUGCUAGAUUGGUGGCGAGUGGCGAACGGGUGAGUAAUACAUCGGAACGUGCCCUGUAGUGGGGGAUAACUAGUCGAAAGAUUAGCUAAUACCGCAUACGACCUGAGGGUGAAAGUGGGGGACCGCAAGGCCUCAUGCUAUAGGAGCGGCCGAUGUCUGAUUAGCUAGUUGGUGAGGUAAAGGCUCACCAAGGCGACGAUCAGUAGCUGGUCUGAGAGGACGAUCAGCCACACUGGGACUGAGACACGGCCCAGACUCCUACGGGAGGCAGCAGUGGGGAAUUUUGGACAAUGGGGGCAACCCUGAUCCAGCAAUGCCGCGUGUGUGAAGAAGGCCUUCGGGUUGUAAAGCACUUUUGUCCGGAAAGAAAUCGCACUUACUAAUAUUAGGUGUGGAUGACGGUACCGGAAGAAUAAGGACCGGCUAACUACGUGCCAGCAGCCGCGGUAAUACGUAGGGUCCAAGCGUUAAUCGGAAUUACUGGGCGUAAAGCGUGCGCAGGCGGUUGUGCAAGACCGAUGUGAAAUCCCCGGGCUUAACCUGGGAAUUGCAUUGGUGACUGCACGGCUAGAGUGUGUCAGAGGGGGGUAGAAUUCCACGUGUAGCAGUGAAAUGCGUAGAGAUGUGGAGGAAUACCGAUGGCGAA